CGGGAGUUUGGGGUUACGAUGACGGGGGUCAAGCUAU
rnacentral:tRNA from 1 species